GAGUAUUUGUUGCAUUUAUUAUAAGAUUUCGUUUUGUUUUAUAUUUUUCCCUAUGAAGGAUGAGAAGAAAUAUAUUUUUGUUCAUUGAAAAAUAAAUUAAAACAAAUUAAUGGUAAGAUGAAUUUAUGUGAUGAAUUCUUACAUUUCAGCAUAGAAGAUUUCUUUUACAAUGCACCUACAUCGGGAGUAUCUAAGAACCUGCUUUGAUUAGAUAAAAUAUGAUGUGGACCACCACUAAUGGGAUGAACAGAUGAGUGUUCCAAAUGGGAUAUAAUUGCAAAAGAGUCUUUACUGGCAAUCCCAUUGAGUGAAAUCACAUAAGACAGAGAAUAUAUGCUCAGGAUGUAAUGAUGCUCACAGUUCCUCCAGUUGCCAGGAAUCUACUAAACUAUGCUGCCUUGGUUUAAGGCAGAUCAGGUGGCCCUCUGCUGCUGUAGUAUUACCACAGAAGAAAAAGACUUAGUGUGACACUUGAGCACUCCUGUAUCUCAGAAUUUCCAAAUUCCAAAGAUCCACCAACCUAAGCCUUCUCAGCAAUAGAGAUUCCUAGCAAUAGAGACUACCAGAACCAACCUUUCCUUUUACAGUGCUGACCCUGUACAUUAUGAACAAGAGGAUGACCAGAAACAAGAAAAUUUGAAGUUUGAAGAAAUGCAUCAGAAGAGGAGCAGAGGGCAGGAAGAAGCAAGAGAGAGGACAGAGUUACACACAUCUUUAUCAAUACAGCAUAAGGACAUAAGGUGGGGAUGAAAGAGGAAAG
rnacentral:lncRNA from 1 species